UACGGAGGGUGCGAGCGUUAAUCGGAAUUACUGGGCGUAAAGGGCGCGUAGGCGGUGGGUUACGUCUGCCGUGAAAUCCCCGGGCUCAACCUGGGAAUGGCGGUGGAAACGGGCUGACUGGAGUAUGGGCGAGGGUGAUGGAAUUCCAGGUGUAGCGGUGAAAUGCGUAGAGAUCUGGAGGAACACCAGUGGCGAAAGCGGUCACCUGGCCCAAUACUGACGCUGAGGAGCGAAAGCGUGGGGAGCAAACAGG
rnacentral:rRNA from 1 species